GUAGUGUGAUGGUUUGGGGUCCAGAAUGGAGGUGGUAGUGUGAUGGUUUGGGGUCCAGAAUGGAGGUGGUAGUGUGAUGGUUUGGGGUCCAGAAUGGAGGUGGUAGUGUGAUGGUUUGGGGUCCAGAAUGGAGGUGGUAGUGUGAUGGUUUGGGGUCCAGAAUGGAGGUGGUAGUGUGAUGGUUUGGGGUCCAGAAUGGAGGUGGUAGUGUGAUGGUUUGGGGUCCAGAAUGGAGGUGGUAGUGUGAUGGUUUGGGGUCCAGAAUGGAGGUGGUAGUGUGAUGGUUUGGGGUCCAGAAUGGAGGUGGUAGUGUGAUGGUUUGGGGUCCAGAAUGGAGGUGGUAGUGUGAUGGUUUGGGGUCCAGAAUGGAGGUGGUAGUGUGAUGGUUUGGGGUCCAGAAUGGAGGUGGUAGUGUGAUGGUUUGGGGUCCAGAAUGGAGGUGGUAGUGUGAUGGUUUGGGGUCCAGAAUGGAGGUGGUAGUGUGAUGGUUUGGGGUCCAGAAUGGAGGUGGUAGUGUGAUGGUUUGGGGUCCAGAAUGGAGGUGGUAGU